GUUCGAGUAUGUGAGUGUGUGGGUCUGGGUCGAAGGAUAGGUGAGCCAUGGGUUGAAAGUGCGAGGUGGGCUGGGGAUGUGUAACUUGGUUCAAAGAGAGGCUGUUUGAUCUAGGAUCAACGAACUUUUAAGCUCUAUUUAGGAAGCUGUUUGGUGCCGAUGGGAUCUAAAAUGGGAAGACUUACACUUGAUUCCGCAGUGGAGAUUCAUCCAAAUUCAAUUGUAUUACCACUCAAGAAAUCUUCUCAACGUUCCAUUCCUCACAAGCUUGGUUGAAAGCAAAUUCAGCCUCAGAUCCAAGGCGGAAACUCCAAUUCCGGCCCAGAUUACGUCGUAAAUAGCAAAGGAGAAGGAGGUAUCUUAACGAGAACAUUGUAUUUGCCGUCGGAAUGGCGAUGGAGGAAUUUAAUGCCUACAAUUCCAUGACGCAGCAGCCAUAUUAGCCAUGCCCGCACCGCCGUCAACUUCGAUGUCGUUUACAGAUAAUUCAACGGCGAAAUGAAUUGGAGGAGAAUCCAGUGACGUUAAGUGACUGCUUUUGCCCAAGAAUAUCUUGCUGACAUGGCCGAUCUCCAGUGCCUUUCUCCUACACACCAACCUUGUGUGUCUGACCACAUGGAAUAAAUCAAGGAUAUGAUGACUCAGGUAUGGAUCUUUAUGCCUACUCAACGAUUAAUUUUUUUAAGUUUACUUUCUGAAAAUUGCAAUUACAAGAUUCAAACCAGGGUAGUCCCACAAUGAAAUCCAUUGAAAGAUCAUCCCAUAUUCGUUCGGAAAUAGGAAGCGACUAUCGCAAACCAACUGGAGCUUCAGUUCCCUCGUUCAAUUUGUUUCUCAUUGCAACCAAAGUAGGAUCAAUUUGCUGUUGGUCUAAAAUCAGCUUCAAAUUCAUACCUCCAGCCACACUAAUUGCCGUACAUUCUAGUGUUUGAGGAAGUCUCGAUAAACCAUCAGCUGCCCUACUCUCUUUUCCUGGUUUGUGCACAAUCUCAAUAUUGAAUCCCAUUAAUUUUGUCAUCCACUUGUGAUAUUCUCAAGCCACCAUUCGUUGAUCCUUCACCUGGGGAACAUGAGAAAAGCACAAACAACCAAACACCUUCAAAAUUAUCAGGUUUGGUUUGGUAUUAAACUAAGUUUCGUAGUGUGUCAUCUUCUCCAAUACACUUGGAACAACCAAACACCUUCAUAUAAAGACUGUUGUGUCUGCUGUUUCAACCCAAAACUCAUUCAAUAAGUUAUUCUCAUGCAACAUACCUCUUGUCAUCUCCAUAACACUCCAGUUCUUCCUCUUACUAACUCUGUUUUGAAGUAGAGUAUAUGAAACAGUGAACUGAUACUCUAUCCCAAAUUUUCAUUAAAGGAAUUAAACCUUUGUGAUGUGCAUUCAUUCCCGUUAUCAAACUCCACCAUUUGAAUCUUACUGUGAUUUUCUAGCUGCCUUUUAAACUUCAGAAGCACUUUAGCUACUUCAAACUUCUGCUUCAUGAAGUAAAUGUUAGAGUUGGUUGAGGUCCACACAAGCCAGUGUGGAUGAGCUGCAACUUCUCUCGGUUGUUUUCAUUGAAUGACAAUCUUGUUUGCUUCCAUGUCAAACAAGCCAUGUAGUCUGUUUUCAACUCCUCUAGAAUUGGUACUCCUGCACAACUCUCUAUUGACACUAUGCUCUUCCCUUUCACUUCUACAGACUCACUAUUCCCUAUCUUCACCCUUGACUUCACCCUUGACUUGAAUGUCUUGUCAAAGUCCUU